UCCAGUUACUAUUACUACAACACAAACUAAACAUUCCCCCCAAAUUCAAUCCAUGCGCACCUACAUAUGUGCUGCAGUAUGCAGGGCUCCAGCUCUCUUCAUUAGUUUCACUUUGUCUUCAUUUCCCUGUUUUGUUCUCACUCUACCCACCAAACCUUUUUUUACUGAAAACUUUUUGUUGUGCAGGUUCAGUUUAGUAAAAUUAGAGGCCAAGUGAGUGAGGAUGAGGAUGGCAUAUGGACAUGGACAGGAAUAAUAUAAGAUGUUUCAAUAGAUAGUGUUAAAUAGUUACAGUACUUGCCAUGGUGAAGCCCUUUCUGUUCUACAGGAAGCAGUGCAGUUUGAAGAAAGUACAAGACUAGGUGGCCUUUCCUCUGUUCGUUCACAGCCCUCGCCCACGCCCAUCAACGCUCGCUUAGCCAAUAGGAAAACUGCGACAUUGCAUUUACCAAUGGGAAAUUAUUUACCACCUUUGCAAUCAUUUGGUGCUACGGAGAUUUUCCCAACAGACGUUUCUCUCAGUUUCAAAGGUGUCGACAAUAAGCAUCGCUAAACACACCCAUGUUCUGUAGCCUAGGCUACUACGAACUUUCACUUUUGCUCGAUCUGGAACACGGUUAUAUGGAAACGACUCCAAUUUGUGAGUGGGAACAAUCAGGAGUUGUGUCAGUCAGUUGCUGCAGUGCGCUUCUGUAGGCUACGGACUUUCGAAAGUGUGGUUGUUGAAUUUGUUGCUGCAAUGCGCUUCUGUAGGC